GUUAAAUAAAUCCUUGCAGUGGAAGAUCUACUGCUCAUUCAAAUCUUGCCGCCGACAGAGCUAGUUAGUUCGUCAUGGCGGACGUGAUGCUGAUGAAGGAGAUUGAGGAAACGGCUGGUCGGCUUGGGAUAGAUCUCUCCCAAGUUGAUUUUGACGCUAUUCGUCUCCCUCCUGCGAGGAUUUCGGAAUCAUUAGGUUCCUCAUUCUUUUGAUUGAAUUUGACAUUCUUCUGGAGGAUACUGAUUGGGCUGGUUUGCUUAAUUUGAUUAAAUUUUUUAAAAGUCAGAGGUUUGAUGCAGAUACUGGACUCCCCAAGCCAAAUGAAUUUCGUGAUUUUCACGAGUAUUUUCUUCUUGAGGUAAUGCAAUGAGGAGCUGAGUUAUGAAGGUCUUCAAGGUCUUCUCGGCUUAACACAUGCAGGAACAGUUCCUGAUGUUCUUCCCCCACCAAGAUCAGCUCUUUUAUCUUCAUUUGUGCUUCCAUAUAAACCCGAGGUCAGACUCUGCAUUCAUAAUAAGUUGCUUCACUUUUUCUCCCAAAGAGUUAUAAUACACGUCGCAUGUGCUGUCUAUUCAAUUCUGUUGGUAUUGAAUAGUAUGUUUUGGAAUCCAAAUCAAUUACUUCAAAUGUUCAGAAGUUUGGAUAUAGUGGUUACUGGUUACUGUUGAUAUCCCAAUGCAUGUUUUAUGUUUCAAUAAUCCAAAUGCAUGUUUUAUGUUUCAAUAAUCCAUAUUUUGUAUAUUCCUGAAGGUAGUUUGUUACACUGCAACUUUCAGUGAAAAGUUUGUUUCUUUUUCACAAGGAAAUAUUGAAUCAUGCUUCUGCUGCUGUUCCCUUGCCUUUAAUUGUAUCUGGUAGAACCCGAAUAUAUUGAGAGAUAAACGAUAACGAAAUACAAGAUAAAUCAAAUAUUUGAGGUAUUUAGACCUUUGAAUACUCUCAAGUCCUAAAUCAUUCACCAAAAUAUUGCCCCCUUUCCCCGUUCCCUAUCCACUGUAUUGAUAACCAAACUUCCCUAACCAACUACUUAACUAUUUACUAAUAUACCCCUAAUAACCCCUUAUACCCAAUCCUAUCAGUAUCCUCGUAAUUUAUUAGAAGGGAUGAGUAUACCAAUUAGAGAGGGAAAAGGAUCUAGCGAAGUGGACCACAUAGCUAUAGGUUACUUCAUAUGUUCAUUGCAGAUAGUGGAUGAAGCAAACCUGAAAACGACUAAGUAAACGUAUUGCAGAUAGGAGAUUACAGUAUUGCUGUAUUUUUUUUCAUCAUUUCAGUUCAUUGGAUUUCUGGAACCAUACAUGGAAGAUAGCCAUUUGAAAGGAUGGAAGCACUCAUCUUUUCUUCAGAUGAUUCCCUAGGAAGAUCAAAAGAUGGCUACACGGUUGACGAAUACAAUGUCCAACUCGCUGAAAGGGAGGUUUGUUUAGGUACCAUAAAUAUAAAGUAUACGUGAUAAAUAGUUUCUAUCUUUGGGGAUUUCCUUAUCAUAUGCUUUUUUUCUUUUGGAAGGGUCGUAUAUUUCAAGGCAAAGAGCCACCCCAGUUUAUUGCCCUCUUUCAACUUUUUGUGGGGUGCUCAAGGUGGUAGUCUAUAAAGCUUCUUUCUUAACUCAUCUCUUUUGAUUAGAAUCACGUUGUAGUUUCUUUUACAAGAUUUUGAUGUGGAACUGAGAGGGCCUUGAGAGAUAGAUAACCAUCAUUUUCUUAAUGAAUUCUGGUUUAGGGUGGCUUGAGCUCUAGUUUCAAGAAACUCAUAGCAGAUAAAGCUUUGGCUAAUGAAACUUACAUUGGAAGAUUC